UGGGGGAAGAUGGGACACCUUUAGCCAAUAAUAUCCAAAUAUACUAAUCGUAAUUUAAAUAGUUAACAUUGGUCUAUGGAACUAGUGAGGAGGUUAUAAUUCUUUGAAUGUUCUUUGUUUACUAACAAAUGGGAUGAUUAAAGGGAAUGAAAGGGUGUCCCAUUUCCCCCCACUCUACUGUAUAUGUAAGAAAGUAAAAAGGGUAGUAAAACUGUGAAGGGGUUUAAACUUAUAAAAGAGUUGUGUGGAAGAAGAACAUAUCUUGUAUAGUAGAUGCAUGUAUUCAAAUGAAGCAAUCAUUUUCUUACCUGGGUUCGAAUCCAGACCCCCGUCCCCACCAAUGUUAACAGAAGAACAAACAACACGACAAGAAACAUGAAAAACUGAAACAAAAGAUAACUUAGCGGUUAUAGAGUAAGGUGGGGAAUGUACUUGCUGUUCGACAUCGCUCCACAACAACCGAUAACUGCCAAGCUCGCCGCUGCGCAUCCGGUUGCCAUGGCCACCAACGUUAUGUGGGAAAUGUAGAUGCAAGUGACACUGCUUGUCGCUACAGCAAUCAAGUUUACGUUGGCUGGAACCCAUCUCAUCCAAGCAGCAUGACUUACGAGUAAAACGCCAACUCCCUGAUGUUAAGACUACAGAUUACUGUCAGAUUUUUGUUUAAUAAUAGAAAGUGUGAAGAGUUAGAUGUAAAGAGGAAUUAGUAGCGUCGAGUAAGAUGGGACACUGCACAUUUACCCCAACAUUUUAAGAACUAAAAUUGCUGCCUUGCUGCCUUUCUUAAUUAAUAAUAUUAAAAAAAAAACAUAUAUUAAAACACAUCGAAAGUUCUUAAGCAGUUCUAGGUGUAACAUAAACAUUACAAAUCCGAAAACAGUCGGGGUAGGAUGAGAUAUAUUAAAAUCUUUGUUAAUUUUAUUUAUAAAUGACGUCAAAAUCCCCUUACUAUAUUUAUUUAAAGUGUUUUCCCGUUUUGUGUUUCCUUUUCCGCUAUGUGUCGUUUUGAGUAUUUCACGUGUUGUUUCUACCACUUUGUGUUAUUUACAUUCCUUCUACUGCAAUUAUUGAUUAGGCGUCUUUUGCGUCACGUGAGCGGCUGCGGGCAUAUCAAUCAGAGGCGCAGCCGCUUGGAAAAGCGUAAUUGUGGCCAGUUCUCUCUCUGGCGUGUUACAGUAAAGAGCUAUUUUAUACUCUGUUA